rnacentral:rRNA from 1 species
UACGAAGGGUGCAAGCGUUACUCGGAAUUACUGGGCGUAAAGCGUGCGUAGGUGGUUUUUUAAGUCCGUUGUGAAAGCCCUGGGCUCAACCUGGGAAUGGCAGUGGAUACUGGAAAGCUAGAGUGCGGUAGAGGGUAGUGGAAUUCCCGGUGUAGCAGUGAAAUGCGUAGAGAUCGGGAGGAACACCAGUGGCGAAGGCGGCCGGCUGGGGGUGCCCUGACGCUGAGGCGCGAAAGCGUGGGGAGCGAACCGG